UACCCGCAGCACAAGUGGUGGUCAUUAUUAUUGGGCCUAAAGCGUCCGUAGCUGGUUUGUUAAAUGCCUGGGUAAAUCGAUGCGCUUAACGUAUCGAACUCCGGGUAGACUGGCAAACUCGAGACCGGGAGAGGUGUAGGCUACUCGCGGGGUAGGGGUAAAAUCCUGUAAUCCUGCGGGGAGGACCAGUGGCGAAGGCGCUACACUAGAACGGCUCUGACAGUGAGGGACGAAGCCCCUGGGGCGCAAACCGG
rnacentral:rRNA from 1 species